CCUCUCUGCUCAGAUUUGGCAAUGAUGUGGGUCCUUCCACCCAUUAAAGAGCCAUUAAUGUCACCGUUGAGCUGGCUGGUGUGGCAUUCUGCCCGUUUCGAGAUCCCUGACUCAGCCAGCAAUAACGACAAUUCUGAAAGGUAUUGUUUUACCAUCGCAGUGCAGCACAACAGAAUGCAGGGCUUUUCUUCGAGAUUCCUGUCUGUAAUGCUCCUCAAGAAAUUCCAGAAUCACCUCCAAAUCGGUCUGAUAUUCUUCCGGACUGUUCUGGGUUUAACUGCUCUUGAACAUCUGUGGCAAACCUUGGAAUAGUUUCCUGUCUGCUGUGAAUGAUAAAAGGUGGGAAACGGCUUGAAGUGUAUGAAAACUCACAAGAGCGGUCACAUCAGAUGACAUAAGCAUCCAAGUCAACAACUUGACCAUGGAAAAAACAGCUGAGCAGUAGAUUGAACGUUUGAUGAAA